UGGGCGCGUCGCAUAGCCUGGAUAUUGCACCAGCCUCCUAAGCUGGAUUCCGCGGGUUCAAAUCCUGCCGCGUCCGU
rnacentral:tRNA from 1 species